rnacentral:rRNA from 1 species
UUGAACGCUGGCGGCAUGCCUUACACAUGCAAGUCGAACGGCAGCACGGACUUCGGUCUGGUGGCGAGUGGCGAACGGGUGAGUAAUACAUCGGAACGUGCCUAGUAGUGGGGGAUAACUACUCGAAAGAGUGGCUAAUACCGCAUGAGAUCUACGGAUGAAAGCAGGGGAUCGUAAGACCUUGUGCUACUAGAGCGGCCGAUGGCAGAUUAGGUAGUUGGUGGGAUAAAAGCUUACCAAGCCAACGAUCUGUAGCUGGUCUGAGAGGACGAUCAGCCACACUGGGACUGAGACACGGCCCAGACUCCUACGGGAGGCAGCAGUGGGGAAUUUUGGACAAUGGGCGAAAGCCUGAUCCAGCAAUGCCGCGUGCAGGAUGAAGGCCUUCGGGUUGUAAACUGCUUUUGUACGGAACGAAAAGCUUCGGGUUAAUACCCUGGAGUCAUGACGGUACCGUAAGAAUAAGCACCGGCUAACUACGUGCCAGCAGCCGCGGUAAUACGUAGGGUGCAAGCGUUAAUCGGAAUUACUGGGCGUAAAGCGUGCGCAGGCGGUUUUGUAAGACAGAGGUGAAAUCCCCGGGCUCAACCUGGGAACUGCCUUUGUGACUGCAAGGCUAGAGUACGGCAGAGGGGGAUGGAAUUCCGCGUGUAGCAGUGAAAUGCGUAGAUAUGCGGAGGAACACCGAUGGCGAAGGCAAUCCCCUGGGCCUGUACUGACGCUCAUGCACGAAAGCUUGGGGAGCAAACAGGAUUAGAUACCCUGGUAGUCCACGCCCUAAACGAUGUCAACUGGUUGUUGGGUCUUCAUUGACUCAGUAACGAAGCUAACGCGUGAAGUUGGCCGCCUGGGGAGUACGGCCGCAAGGUUGAAACUCAAAGGAAUUGACGGGGGCCCGCACAAGCAGUGGAGUAUGUGGUUUAAUUCGACGCAACGCGAAGAACCUUACCAGGGCUUGACAUAUACAGGAAUAUGUAAGAGAUUACAUAGCUCUUCGGAGUCUGUAUACAGGUGGUGCAUGGUUGUCGUCAGCUCGUGUCGUGAGAUGUUGGGUUAAGUCCCGCAACGAGCGCAACCCUUGCCAUUAGUUGCUACGAAAGGGCACUCUAAUGGGACUGCCGGUGACAAACCGGAGGAAGGUGGGGAUGACGUCAAAUCAUCAUGCCCUUUAUGUCCUGGGCUACACACGUACUACAAUGGAUGUUACAAAGGGUUGCCAACCCGCGAGGGGGAGCUAAUCCCAUAAAGCCAGUCGUAGUCCGGAUCGCAGUCUGCAACUCGACUGCGUGAAGUCGGAAUCGCUAGUAAUCGUGGAUCAGCAUGUCACGGUGAAUACGUUCCCGGGUCUUGUACACACCGCCCGUCACACCAUGGGAGCGGGUCUCGCCAGAAGUAGGUAGCCUAACCGCAAGGAGGGCGCUUACCACGGCGGGGUUCGUGACUGGGGUG